AACGAACGCUGGCGGCAGGCUUAACACAUGCAAGUCGAACGCCCCGCAAGGGGAGUGGCAGACGGGUGAGUAACGCGUGGGAAUCUACCUAGUUCUACGGAACAACAGAGGGAAACUUCUGCUAAUACCGUAUACGCCCUAUGGGGGAAAGAUUUAUCGGAAUUAGAUGAGCCCGCGUAAGAUUAGCUAGUUGGUGGGGUAAUGGCCUACCAAGGCGACGAUCUUUAGCUGGUCUGAGAGGAUGAUCAGCCACACUGGGACUGAGACACGGCCCAGACUCCUACGGGAGGCAGCAGUGGGGAAUAUUGGACAAUGGGCGCAAGCCUGAUCCAGCCAUGCCGCGUGAGUGAUGAAGGCCUUAGGGUUGUAAAGCUCUUUCACCGAUGAAGAUAAUGACGGUAGUCGGAGAAGAAGCCCCGGCUAACUUCGUGCCAGCCGCCGCCGUAAUAC
rnacentral:rRNA from 1 species